AGAAGGUAUUGAAAGAGUAACACAGAAGAAGGUAUUGAAAAGAGUUACACAGAAGAAGGUAUUGAAAAGAGUAACACAGAAGAAGGUAUUGAAAAGAGUAACACAGAAGAAGGUAUUGAAAAGAGUAACACAGAAGAAGGUAUUGAAAAGAGUAACACAGAAGAAGGUAUUGAAAAGAGUAACACAGAAGAAGGUAUUGAAAAGAGUAACACAGAAGAAGGUAUUGAAAAGAGUAACACAGAAGAAGGUAUUGAAAAGAGUUACACAGAAGAAGGAAUUUGAAAAGAGUAACACAAGAAGAAGGAAUUUGAAGAGAAAUAACACAAGAAGAAGAAAUGUGAAGUAACACCGGAAGGAAAAUGCAGAGAAGUAACACUAGAAAAAUGAAAAUGGAAAUGAAAAGAAUCAUCCACCUUUCGGCCCAAACCAACAUCACAAAAUUAUGGGCGAGUCUCUUCUGGGAGGAAAGCGGCUCGUUCAGACCCAGGAACACCAGAAAGGAUGAUAGAAACAUCAAGAUAAGGCAAACAGAAAAGUCAUCCACCUUUC